UUUUAUUUUUUUUUAUAUUUAAAGGGACGUUUCUGCUAGGGAUUUAUAAAGGGUAGCUCCAGUCUAAUGGAGCAAGAAAAAUUGCCUGUUACAUAGUAUUUGUAUGUAGGCGCUUUUGCUAUUUGGUUUCUACAUUGUAGCAGUUUGCGGCCCCUGAUUUUUGGCUCUUACCAUAUAAUCUACCUAUAUGUUAGCCGCCCUGGCAAGAGUGAGCUCUACUAUGACCACUGAUUGCCCCCGCCACAAUGAAACAGGUCUUCGCUGAGGCUAAAGGCAGUUCCCGUCAGGGGUCCCCCCCCCCCCAGCAAUUUCGCACAGACUCCUCUGGUUUGUGAUGGAGGGCGCUUUACUUUACGGCAUCUUGAUCACUACUACAAGAAAGGGGAUGCAACCAGUUCUUGCAAAAUCCCAACAUUUUGGUGGCAGAUCGCAACGUACAAGCAAUUUUACCAGCAUGUCGGCGAUCCUAAAUUGCACAGAACUUGCCCCCUGAGAUGGUCGUGUAACCAGGGCAAAGGCAAGUCGCAGACCAAUCACAGACUUGAUCUUGCGUGUAAGUCCUACCCUCCCUUACGUGUAUGGCUUUCAGAAUAUCUUUGGAUAAAGGGAUCCUGUCAUGGAAUAGAAGCUGACCUGACAACCAGUUGAUCGCCAUGAAUCCCGCUUUGUUGAAGUCAGCUGUUGUCAGCAGAGAAAUGGCGCCCGGUCAUACAUUUGGUAUGUUUGUACACAUACAUUUGGCCAAUCAUGUCAUUAUAUGGACCUGCCGUGUCCAGCAGGGUGGCAGCCCCCCAUAUCUGGAGGACCUGCCGUGUCCACCAGGGUGGCAGCCCCCCAUAUCUGGAGGACCUGCCGUGUCCACCAGGGUGGCAGCCCCCCAUAUCUGGAGGACCUGCUCUCUGCACACGGUGUGCUGUCCGCAUGAAUGGGUCCUCAUCCAAUCCGCAAAACAUAAAAACGGAACGGACGCAGAAACAAAAUACGUUUGUGUGAAUGUAGCCUGAAGGAAUUAGCAUUUUUAGCCUUUCCAUGGUAUAGGCCUCAUACCCACGAUCGUAUUUUGCAUCCAUUUAUUAUUUUUUUGGACAGAUUGCACAUGGACCCAUUCAUUUCUAUGGGGGAAUAAAAAGUAUGGCACACAAAUGUGACCCAUGUGGUGGCCGCAUCCGUCUGUCUGCUCCACAAAUCAUGUCCAUACUGUGGACAGGAAUAGUCUUUUUUUUUUUUUGUGAUGUGGGCGGAAAAAUUGCGUUUUGCAGACGGAGGGUGUCUGUAUUUUGUGGAUCCGUGGUUUGCGGUCGUGUGCAGGAGGCUUAUAUUCAGACAGAUCAUAAGGAAUCCUCCAGGAUUAGAAGGAAAGGAUGUUUGUAAAUAACGGAAUAUUCUUCGAAAACCUCGCAUCUCCCCCCCCCCCCCAUCCAUAGUGCCAGGCUGCUGUCCCCGUAACCUGUAUAUGAAAUAUCUUAAAUUAUUUUAUAUUUUAUACAUGCGAACACUAAUUGUAGAUUCUUAAUGUUAAAGAGGUUAUUUAUUUGUCGCGUUCUCCCCGUGUCUGUGAUUUUUAAGCUGUGGAAAAUAAUAAAUAUUUUACAGUCGAUGACGUCGUGAAGUUAUUAACCCCGUCCGCUAGUAUAAUGUCUGUCUGCCGGAAAUGUCCUGCUGUAGAGAUAAUAAGUAAGACUAUGUCUAAUAAAACCGUAACAAGCA